CCAGCGUGUUUAAGCAGCUGGAGAUACGGCCCUGUUGGAAUAACAGC
rnacentral:miRNA from 1 species